rnacentral:rRNA from 1 species
UACGAAGGGGGCUAGCGUUGCUCGGAAUCACUGGGCGUAAAGCGCACGUAGGCGGCUUUGUAAGUCAGAGGUGAAAGCCUGGAGCUCAACUCCAGAAUUGCCUUUGAGACUGCAUCGCUUGAAUCCAGGAGAGGUGAGUGGAAUUCCGAGUGUAGAGGUGAAAUUCGUAGAUAUUCGGAAGAACACCAGUGGCGAAGGCGGCUCACUGGACUGGUAUUGACGCUGAGGUGCGAAAGCGUGGGGAGCAAACGGGG